AUGAAAUACCGGUUCCCGUACGAUCCCCGAAGUUAAGCUACAUCGAAUCUGGUCAGUAUCUAGAUAGGUGACCGCUUGAAAAUACCAGGUGCUGUAAU